UGGGGAAUAUUGCACAAUGGGGGAAACCCUGAUGCAGCGACGCCGCGUGAGCGAAGAAGGCUUUCGAGUCGUAAAGCUCUGUCCUAUGAGAAGAUAAUAACGGUAUCAUAGGAGGAAGCCCUGGCUAAAUACGUGCCAGCAGCCGCGGUAAUACGUAUGGGGCGAGCGUUGUCCGGAAUUAUUGGGCGUAAAGGGUACGUAGGUGGUUUUUUAAGUCAGGUGUCAAAGCGUGGAGCUUAACUCCAUUAAGCACUUGAAACUGAAAGACUUGAGUGAAGGAGAGGAAAGUGGAAUUCCUAGUGUAGCGGUGAAAUGCGUAGAUAUUAUGAGGAAUACCGGUGGCGAAGGCGACUUUCUGGACUUUUACUGACGCUCAGGUACGAAAGCGUGGGGAGCAAACAGG
rnacentral:rRNA from 1 species